UACGAAGGGGGCUAGCGUUGCUCGGAAUUACUGGGCGUAAAGCGCACGUAGGCGGCUUUCUAAGUCGGGGGUGAAAUCCUGGAGCUCAACUCCAGAACUGCCUUCGAUACUGGAGAGCUCGAGUCCGGGAGAGGUGAGUGGAACUGCGAGUGUAGAGGUGAAAUUCGUAGAUAUUCGCAAGAACACCAGUGGCGAAGGCGGCUCACUGGCCCGGUACUGACGCUGAGGCGCGACAGCGUGGGGAGCAAACAGG
rnacentral:rRNA from 1 species